UCAGUUAAUCGAAGAUACAGUAGAACGUACGAAUGCCUUCCCCCUGAAGUUGCUGCAGAAAAAUGAUAAUUUAUUGUCAAACUUGAGUUUCUAUAUCCCAUGCCUAAAAAAUUGACGUGUGUUUUGAUGUCAUCGUUGGUCAUCGUUGUAAACAUUAAACAGUUUAAUGUUUACCAUUACAUUAAAGUUAAAAAUACAUUAAAAUUUUUAAAAAAUGGUAAUGAAUGGUGAAAAAAAGUUAGUGAUUAAAGUGAGGUGAGAAAUAUUUUUAUAUUGCAUCAGUAUAAAAGUUUCAUGAAGCUGCCGAAUUAAUUGAUCAUAGGAAAAUUGUAUAAAGAAAACAAUGUAGGGACAAUUUUCAUCAUUGCAUCAACAAUUUUCCAAAAAUGAAGCACUACCUAUUCGUGGCACGCGAGGUUGUCAAAUGCGAAAAAUGCGUUGUCCUUGGUUUUCAAUCCUGGGCGAAGCACGUACCCUAGAACAAUUGGAACGAAAUGAUGGCGAAUUGUCUCUUCUGCAAAAGGAGAAUGCCAUCAUUGAUGGGAGAAACAUUUCCCCGCACCAAAUCGGAACCGAAUGUGUUAUAUAACUGGUGAUUUGCACCAGACUCAGAGUGUAGCUGAAAUUGAGUUGAUCUGGCGGUGGUUCGAGCCCUUCAUUGAAGAACGGAAUUUCAGAGAAGAAUCGAAAUGGAAUUGGAAUUUAAAUUAACAUGCCGCAAAAGUGAAAAGAACAAUAAAUUCGCCAUUAGUGACUCUGACGUAGGACUCUCAAGACGAGUCACUUUUGACAUUUGCAAGAUUUUUUAAUAAAAAAUAAAUUUUUGGGACCAAAAAAAUUAUUUUUAUUUGUUUUUUUUUUUUUCAAUUUUUCGCUAAAAAAGUAAGUGUUCCAGGAGACAUUAGUUCAAAUAAGUUCUUUGGCUUGCUGAUUAUUUGCCUGCUCGAUUUUAUCUCUCAAGACGAAUCACUUUUGAUAUUUGCAAGAGUUUUUAAUGAAAAAUAAAUUUGUGGGACCAAAAAAAUGAUUUUUAUU